UACGAAGGGUGCAAACGUUGCUCGGAAUCAUUGGGCGUAAAGCGCACGUAGGCGGCCUUGUAAGUCGGAUGUGAAAUCCCUCGGCUCAACCAAGGAAGUGCAUCCGAAACUGCUGAGCUUGAGUACUUAAGAGGAUCGCGGAAUUCCCGGUGUAGAGGUGAAAUUCGUAGAUAUCGGGAGGAACACCAGUGGCGAAGGCGGCGAUCUGGGAAGAUACUGACGCUGAGGUGCGAAAGCGUGGGGAGCAAACAGG
rnacentral:rRNA from 1 species